CCUACGGGAGGCAGCAGUGAGGAAUAUUGGUCAAUGGCCGGAAGGCUGAACCAGCCAUGCCGCGUGAAGGUCAGUGCCCUAUGGGCGUUAAACUUCUUUUGUGCGGGAGCAAUAAUGGUCACGUGUGGCCAGACGAGAGUACCGUACGAAUAAGCAUCGGCUAACUCCGUGCCAGCAGCCGCGGUAAUACGGGGGAUGCAAGCGUUAUCCGGAUUUAUUGGGGUUAAAGGGUGCGUAGGCUGGGAGGUAAGUCAGCGGUGAAAUGCCGCCGCUCAACGGGGUGAAGUGCCAUUGAUACUGGCUUGCUGGAAUGCGGAUGCGGUGGGAGGAAUGUGUGGUGUAGCGGUGAAAUGCAUAGAUAUCACACAGAACACCGAGUGCGAAGGCAUCUCACGGAUCCGCGAUUGACGCUGAUGCACGAAAGCGUGGGUAUCAAACAGGAUUAGAUACCCCUGUAGUC
rnacentral:rRNA from 1 species